rnacentral:rRNA from 1 species
CAGUCGCCGCGGUAAAACGGAGGGGGCUAGCGUUGUUCGGAAUUACUGGGCGUAAAGCGCACGUAGGCGGCUUGGUAAGUUAGAGGUGAAAGCCUGGAGCUCAACUCCAGAAUUGCCUUUAAGACUGCCGAGCUAGCAGGUGAGAGAGGUAAGUGGAAUUCCGAGUGUAGAGGUGAAAUUCGUAGAUAUUCGGAAGAACACCAGUGGCGAAGGCGGCUUACUGGCUCAUACUGGACGCUGAGGUGCGAAAGCGUGGGGAGCAAACAGGAUUAGAUACCCCUGUAGUCCCUGUCUCUUAUAC